UACGUAGGGUGCGAGCGUUGUCCGGAAUUAUUGGGCGUAAAGAGCUCGUAGGCGGUGUGUCACGUCGGCCGUGAAAACCUGCAGCUUAACUGUGGGCGUGCGGGCGAUACGGGCAGACUGGAGUACUGCAGGGGAGACUGGAAUUCCUGGUGUAGCGGUGGAAUGCGCAGAUAUCAGGAGGAACACCGGUGGCGAAGGCGGGUCUCUGGGCAGUAACUGACGCUGAGGAGCGAAAGCGUGGGGAGCGAACAGG
rnacentral:rRNA from 1 species